CUUGGUCAUUUAGAGGAAGUAAAAGUCGUAACAAGGUCUCCGUUGGUGAACCAGCGGAGGGAUCAUUACCGAGUUUACAACUCCCAAACCCCUGUGAACAUACCUUACUGUUGCCUCGGCGGAUCAGCCCGCGCCCGGUAAAACGGGACGGCCCGCCAGAGGACCCCUAAACUCUGUUUUUAUUGUAACUUCUGAGUAAAACCAUAAAUAAAUCAAAACUUUCAACAACGGAUCUCUUGGUUCUGGCAUCGAUGAAGAACGCAGCAAAAUGCGAUAAGUAAUGUGAAUUGCAGAAUUCAGUGAAUCAUCGAAUCUUUGAACGCACAUUGCGCCCGCCAGUAUUCUGGCGGGCAUGCCUGUUCGAGCGUCAUUUCAACCCUCAAGCCCCCGGGUUUGGUGUUGGGGNAUCGGGCUGUACUCCAGCCCGGCCCCGAAAUCUAGUGGCGGUCUCGCUGCAGCCUCCAUUGCGUAGUAGCUAACACCUCGCAACUGGAACGCGGCGCGGCCAAGCCGUUAAACCCCCAACUUCUGAAUGUUGACCUCGGAUCAGGUAGGAAUACCCGCUGAACUUAAGCAUAUCAAUAAGCGGAGA
rnacentral:rRNA from 1 species